GACGAACGCUGGCGGCGUGCUUAACACAUGCAAGUCGAACGGCAAGGCCCUGCUAUUGUGGGGUGCUCGAGUGCCGAACGGGUGAGUAACACGUGUGUAACCUGCUCUUGACUUUGGGAUAACUUCAGGAAACUGGGGCUAAUAUCGGAUAGGAGCUCCUGCUGCAUGGAGGGGGGUGGAAAGUCUCGGCGGUUGGGGAUGGACGAGCGGCUUAUCAGCUUGCUGGUGGGGUAGUGGCUUACCAAGGCUUUGACGGGUAGCCGGCCUGAGAGGGUGACCGGCCACAUUGGGACUGAGAUACGGCCCAGACUCCUACGGGAGGCAGCAGUGGGGAAUAUUGCACAAUGGGCGGAAGCCUGAUGCAGCAACGCCGCGUGCGGGAUGACGGCCUUCGGGUUGUAAACCGCUUUCGCCUGUGACGAAGCGGGAGUGACGGUAAUGGGUAAAGAAGCACCGGCUAACUACGUG
rnacentral:rRNA from 1 species